rnacentral:sRNA from 1 species
AGUAAGGAGUACCACCAGUGUUGUAAAGACCCUAUCUGUGGUUUGUGUCUCACUUUAAGGCUCAGCUGCAUCUUGGCUAAUGUGAUUCCUACUUAAAACUGAAUGUGAUUGCUGUUGAUGGGUAUUGGAGCAGUUUCUGCACAUAGAUUCCAUGUUUGGGGCUUUGUUUUCUGUGAGAGCAGAUGAGAUGGAGUGAUGAAAGAAGCUUCAAUUCCUAAGCUCAGUUAAUUAAGUUUCAUUGCAUCUGUGAGUAGAGAGUUUUAAUGGUCUGGAAAGAGAAAAUUAAGACAAGAAAAAGCUUGUUUUACUAGAUAGUUACUGGUCUGGGUGGGCCAUUAUUCUGAUAUGUUGUAUUUGGGAUUUUUAUGUGUGGUCAGUGGUUUGAAAAUAGUCACUCAGUCUAGGCAACAUUGCAAGACUUCGUCUCUACUAAAAAUCAGAAACAAAUUAGUUGGGUGUGGUGGCUUGCAUCUGUACUCCUAGCUACUUGGGAUGCUGAGGUAAGAGAAUUGCUUGAGCCCAGGAGAUCAAGGCUGCAGUGAGCCACUGCACUUUUUGGGGAUCAUACCAUUGCACUCCAGCCUGGGCAGUGAGCAAGACCCUGUCUCAUUUAAAAAAAAAAAAAAAAAAAAAAAAAAGAGUCGUGGCAUGGUGGCUCACACCUGUAAUCCCAGCACUUUGGGAGGCCAAGGCCAAGGCAGGUGGAUCAUUUGAGGUCAGGAGUUCGAGAUCAGCCUGACCAAUGUGGUGAAACCCCAUCUCUACUAAAAAUGCAAAAGAUUAGCCAGGGAUGGUGGCAGGCGCCUGUAAUCCCAGCUACUUGGGAGGCUGAGACACUUGAAUCACUUGAACCUGGGAGGUGGAGGUUGCAGUGAGCUGAGGUUAUGCCACUGCACUCCAGCCUGGGCAACAGAGUGAGACUCCUUCUCAAAAGAAAUAGAAAAAGGUAAUCACCCAGGAAUCCAUUUGUUAGGCUCCAAGAAGGUUGGUACCAGGAGGCUGUCAGGCCUAGCACUCAAGGACCUUACUGCUCCACGCAGUUGACAAAAUGUGACUCACUACUAAAGUGACAUACAGUAAUGGGGAUUUGUUAACAUUUCUGAUGAGGCAUUACUUUAUCCAGGUACAUAGCCACCGCCAUCUUCCUAUUGUACAUUUCCAGUGACCUGUCCUCUUUUUGUCCCCAGAGGGGUCUGGUUGCUGCUUACAGUGGUGACAGUGACAAUGAGGAGGAGCUGGUGGAGAGACUUGAGAGUGAGGAAGAAAAGCUAGCUGACUGGAAGAAGAUGGCCUGUCUGCUCUGCCGGCGUCAGUUCCCGAACAAAGAUGCCCUAGUCAGGCACCAGCAACUCUCAGACCUUCACAAGCAAAACAUGGACAUCUACCGACGAUCCAGGCUGAGCGAGCAGGAGCUGGAAGCCUUGGAGCUAAGGGAGAGAGAGGUGAAUGGGAAACUGUGCCACAAGGAAGAGGAUAUUGGGAUAAUCGCCUUUAGCUUUUAUUUGUAGCAUUUAGUUCCAGAUCCCAGGGGCAGGGUAGAAGGAUUUGUCAUACCCUUGUCAUCUGACCAUUGUAGUUCAUGUAGCCUAGACCCAGGCUCUGUGUGCCUCGUGAGCCUCACAUUGUCCCUUCAUCAUAAGGGUGCACAAGGCAAAAGCACACUGCCGAGACUGCUCACAGGUCUUGAAUGCCAGACC